GACGGGAGCGGAGAGACACGGAAAAGGUCAAACUAAAGGCGAGCAGGAGAGGCGGCCGGAGUGGCGGGGGGCCCGGAGCGGGGCUCGAGCCGGCCGCCCCACGGCACUCGGGGCGUCCCCCGGCCAGACGGGCCGGGCCCGGCCCAGCCCCGCUCGCGGGAGGAGCCGGAGCCCCCAUCCCGUCACAGUCAUGCUUCCAGGAAAUCUAUGCUGAGUGACAAAUUCUCAUGUAGCGGAUGGAUUUGAAAAGAGACAACACUCCUGUUUAGUCCUAAUCUGUUCCAUUGCACUAUUUGCAAGGUGCUAUACUCGAGUAUUUAAGGUACCACAACUUCAAGGGCAUCCCGUGUGCUGAAUCACAUUCCUUCCAGCUCCCUCUGGUUGUCAGUGGACAAGCCCAGCUUGACAUUUUUCCAUAUCUUCCAUCGACUUCCAUCAGCAACACAACAAAGUACUCCUGCCCAUACUGUCAGCAUGCUAAUGUUAGUGGACCAUCCAGAUAUCUAGAAUCAUGCAGGAAAAGUUGUACAGCAGAAUGGUCUAGCGACUCAUAUCACCAUCCAGACUGAGGACAAUAAAUAUGAAUGUAAUGUGAGAAGUUGGUGACGGAGAAAAGUGUCCCAAAUGUGGCCUGGUUCCAAAGCCCCUACAGCAGGUUCUGUUUGCACCCACUGCAUUUUAAGGGUCCAACCAAAUUAAACAAUGUGCUUCUUCAGUCCUCCUCGUCCAUCAGGAAUGAAACAUCCCCUUCCUUCUCCCACCCCCAUACAGGAACUACAGCUUAUGACUCCUGGAAUCUUUUUCUGGUUAAACAUUUCAGUAACGUUCUUGGAACCUGCUAGUGUCCCCAUGCUCAAUAAUUUGUCUCAAGUUGGAGUUAUGUUUAUUUUUGAUGAUUGUGAUCAACAGCUGUGCUUUCUCUGCCUACAUGAGCUUUCAGCAAAUGAGGAAUCAAUGGUAUGAAAGGGGGAUUGGUUCCUGAACCAAGGUUUGAUGCACUAUUUUCACCACAAUAACCCAGUUUUUGGUAUUAAAUGAAUUAUAGAUGAUUAAUGUUGCAACAUCAAUGUAUUUACUGUACACUGUAUUUUGUAAACAGCAUUCAAAUAAACUUAAACUCGCAUAUGCUGCUCAGAAUACUAGCAACACAGGCUCAGAAAGCCAGUGAGAACGGCACAGAUGCUGAGCUUCAGCCAAUCAGGGUUCAAGUUUUCUGAUUGCUGAGCCUGGGCUCAGCCAAUCAAAAGUGGCAACCCUAAUUGGCAACAUGCUAACCUGCUGCCUCAAAGCCAAUCAGAAGCGACCCCUUACAGCUCCAUACCAGUACAACACAACCAGGAAGUUAUUUCAAGCAAACUUUAUGCAAAUCGAGCGUCGUGAGGGCGAAAGGGGCAGUCAAUUUAAAAGCUUCAGAAAUGGCAUCCGACGUAAGUUGGGUGUUGUAAGUCUGAGGACUCCCUGUAAUUAAUACUUGGCAUCAUGGCAAGCCUUUUGGAAACGGAUGACGGUUACUAAAAGCUGAUUUGAAAUAUAGUUUCAUAAUUCAGCAGUGGGAGAAUGAGAGCAAGAUGUAACAAGAAGGAAAAAAAUUAAUAGGUAUAAAAUAUUUUGAAGAUGUUCAGACUGAAGGGGUGGGGCUGUUCUAAUGUAUAGGUAAUUUUUUCCUAAAAUGACACACGCAAUACUAACAUUUAAAACUUACAUGCCACUAAUAUAGUGGUUCCUGUACUGUACACAAAUACUUUGUGCAAGGAUCACUGUUACAUCUUUAGAAAGCUGUUAGGAGCCACCAACAACUUGUCACCCUAACAAACUUUCCACUAUUUUAUUUACUUGUUUAUCCAUACACAAGUCACACAGAUAUUGUGUAACAUACCUUUAUUGCUGAGGUAUACGUUAUCUCAGGGGACAGAGCAUUAAUUUAACUUUAAUUUUAAAACCUCCAUCUUUUAGGAAAGAUCCAUGACUAGGGCUCGUAGGUGCUACGGUGCUACAAAUAAAUUAACAGGAAGGUUUUAUACAUAACACUUUUCUUCCACCAGUAUGAACCAGAAAUAAGCAGGGCUACACAACAGGAAGAAAAUGUAAAGAGAAGUUUAUCUGAUUCUUCUUGGAACGAUAUACACACUUUGAAGAGUCAUAGUAAACACUUGCAUUUGUUUAGAGUCUCAUAAUCUCCAAUUAGCUUCCAAACUGGUUUGUUUAAAAAAAAAAAAAAAAAUUCAGAAAAGCCUUUGUACAGAUUUGCUGAGAACACUUGAAUGCAUUUUGUGCAUGGGUUCACUCUGUGCGUGUGUAAAAUAAACUCUAUAACAAAUACCUUAUUUAAUGUAUAAAUUCUGGCUUUUCCAUAGUUUAUAUUUGAAUUAAGUGUGUGCAUUGACUACAGAAAACAAAGCAAACAAGUUUUCUAAAUAUAUGGUAAACUAGUGAAAUAUCAAGAAGGCAUAUGAACUUCUUUGUUUGAUGUCAUGUUUGUUGUUUUAGCACAUAGGACCCCCAGUCAUGGACCAGAACCCCCUUGUGCUUAGCACUUUACAGGCAGAACAAAAAGACAGUCCCUGCCCCCAGAGAGUUUGCUUGUGUUACCAAGAAGUGAACAGUUUUCCUUUGCCUAUAUAGAAUCAUAGAAAUGCAGGUCUUCCAGGGACGUCAAGUAGUCAUCUAGUUCAGACCCCUCCUUCCCUCUACACUGAUCUAGGAUUAAGUAUACCUAGACCUCAUAUAUGUACUAUGCAUAUAUUGUGAACUAGUUUUCUUACAUACAAGUCAUAAAAGCUGUCUUAUGCCAUUAAGUUAAAAAAGAGACUUUAAUUCAUUACAAAUUUUCCUUCCCGAAGCAUAACUACAUACUUAGAUUAGAUGUGUAUAUCUAAAAAUCUAUGGAAAUAAAUAUUGUCAUUUUUGAGCAAGCUAGUGUCUCUAGCUUGUUUCUCCCUUUCUGCUACCAUCUGUUUAAAAGAGCUGCCCUUAUGGUAGCUCUCACAGUGUCAGAGAUGACACUAUUUUGCUGAGUUGCUAAUGUAUCUUUGGCACCCCCAAUUUGUUCCUGUCUUCAAAAUGUCCUCCAAAGGCUGCAACACUCUGCAAACUCCAGCGAAUGGGCUGGGUGAUACAAGAGGUAUUGGGAUUGCUUAUGCCUAUCACAUUGUUCCUUUGCUGGUUCUACAGAGAUGCCUGCUCUUGAAACCUUGCUAUCAAGACUCGUGCUCUGUUUCAGUUGUAUAUGAGCGGAUGCUGUCACUACACGCUCACCGUCCUGGGUGCUUGUUGGCUUUGUUACCCAGCCAAGGAACUGUCAUGACUCUUGGUGUGUUUUGGUUUUGAUGGGCUAUUUCAAAACUGUUACAAGGGUGUUAAAUUGUGGUUUUGCCACUAACAGAAUUCCUGUGUUAGCACUUAAAUGUGGGGUGGGGGGAGUGAUACUUUUCAGUAAAUAUUUGGCGAUCACAUUAAUUUCACAAUAUUUGCUUCACAAGUCUUUAAUUGUGCUUUUCAUAGCACUUUAAUUGAAAAAAAUUUCUAAUAGGUCUGAAGGGGCUUAAACUGCUGCAUUUACAGGCAGUCCAGGGUCACAAAAGGUACUGGAGAGGGAGAUAUGCUUAUUCAGAGCAGCAUUGUUAAGUCUGUUGUCUAAGGUUCUGAUUUAAAAAAAAAAAAAUCCUUAUUCAGAGCAGCACAUAAGUGCCAUUGACUUAAGUGGUACUUAAGUACAUGUUCAAGUGCUGUCCUUGAAUAGGGAUCAUUUCCUGAGUUAGGAUCCUUAGACAAUAAGCAGCAAUUAACUUGAAAAUGUAAUUAAAGUGAUGCUGUUUUGUUGUCAAGAAACCCCUGUUGGGUUGGCAGUAAGGUAAGGGGAUGAGCCACUUGAUAAAUGACCAGAACCAGGUGUCUGAGGCCGUGCGACCUUUUUAGUGGCAGGCUAAACAUGUUCUCUAAUGUGUUUGGGGGAGAAGAAGAUUUAAUGGGAAAAUGGGCACUGCCUCUGACGAUGUUCUCACUUCGCUGUUUUUGCUAGCAUUUCAAAUCUAAAGGUACUCUGAAUUGUAAACUUUGUCGCUGCUCUCCCUGCCAAAAACCCUGUUUUGAGUAUAAUAAAAUAAUCUAAGAAUACAGUAUUUGUUGUCUCAUUCACCCACCCCUUCAUCCAGAUUUUUUUUAAAACCACUUUUCACAUUUACUGGCAGAUGUUUGUUCUACUUGCUUUCAAUGGUGUACUUUAAAACUUAAAUAAUAAAGGAUCAAAAUCUGGAUUUGU